GACGAACGCUGGCGGCGUGCUUAACACAUGCAAGUCGAACGGAAAGGCCCUGCUUUUGUGGGGUGCUCGAGUGGCGAACGGGUGAGUAACACGUGAGUAACCUGCCCUUGACUUUGGGAUAACUUCAGGAAACUGGGGCUAAUACCGGAUAGGAGCUCCUGCUGCAUGGUGGGGGUUGGAAAGUUUCGGCGGUUGGGGAUGGACUCGCGGCGUAUCAGCUUGUUGGUGGGGUAGUGGCUUACCAAGGCUUUGACGGGUAGCCGGCCUGAGAGGGUGACCGGCCACAUUGGGACUGAGAUGCGGCCCAGACUCCUACGGGAGGCAGCAGUGGGGAAUAUUGCACAAUGGGCGGAAGCCUGAUGCAGCAACGCCGCGUGCGGGAUGACGGCCUUCGGGUUGUAAACCGCUUUCGCCUGUGACGAAGCGUGAGUGACGGUAAUGGGUAAAGAAGCACCGGCUAACUACGUG
rnacentral:rRNA from 1 species